GAUGAACGCUGGCGGCGUGCCUAACACAUGCAAGUCGAACGCUCGCAAGAGAGUGGCGCACGGGUGAGUAACACGUAGCUAAUCUGCCCUCAAGACAAGGAUAACUGUAGGAAACUACUGCUAAUACUUGAUAAGCUUACGGACUGUAGAGGUCUAUAAGAAAAGAUUUAUCGCUUGAGGAUGAGGCUGCGCGCCAUCAGCUAGUUGGUAAGGUAAUGGCUUACCAAGGCGACGACGGCUAGGGGACCUGAGAGGGUGACCCCCCACACUGGGACGUGAGACACGGCCCGACGACUCCUACGGGAGGGCAGCAGUGAGGAAUAUUGCUCAAUAGGGCGGCAAGCCUGAAGACAGCGACGCCG
rnacentral:rRNA from 1 species